CCUACGGGAGGCAGCAGUGGGGAAUAUUGCGCAAUGGUCGAAAGCCUGACGCAGCGACGCCGCGUGAAGGAUGAAGGUCUUCGGAUCGUAAACCUCUGUCAGCAGGGAAGAACGUGCACUGUACUAAUCAGCAGUGAAUUGACGGUACCUGCAAAAGAAGCACCGGCUAACUCCGUGCCAGCAGCCGCGGUAAUACGGAGGGUGCGAGCGUUACUCGGAGUUACUGGGCGUAAAGCGCACGUAGGCGGUAUGUCAAGUCAAUCGUGAAAUCCCCGCGCUCAACGUGGGAACUGCCUGUGAAACGGGCAAACUGGAGUGUGUGAGAGGAUAGUGGAAUUCCAGGUGUAGGAGUGAAAUCCGUAGAUAUCUGGAGGAACAUCAGUGGCGAAGGCGACUAUCUGGCACAUAACUGACGCUGAGGAGCGAAAGCGUGGGUAGCAAACAGGAUUAGAUACCCCUGUAGUC
rnacentral:rRNA from 1 species